UACGUAGGGUCCGAGCGUUGUCCGGAAUUAUUGGGCGUAAAGAGCUCGUAGGCGGUUUGUUGCGUCGGCUGUGAAAUCCCGAGGCUCAACCUCGGGUCUGCAGUCGAUACGAGCAAACUAGAGUGUUGCAGGGGAGACUGGAAUUCCUGGUGUAGCGGUGGAAAUGCGCAGAUAUCAGGAGGAACACCGGUGGCGAAGGCGGGUCUCUGGGCAACAACUGACGCUGAGGAGCGAAAGCGUGGGGAGCGAACAGG
rnacentral:rRNA from 1 species